AGUGGGGGAUAACGUAGCGAAAGUUACGCUAAUACCGCAUAUGCCCUGAGGGGGAAAGGUGGGGAUCGAAAGACCUAUCGCUUUCGGAGUGGCCGAUAUCAGAUUAGCUAGUUGGUGGGGUAAAGGCCUACCAAGGCGACGAUCUGUAGCUGGUCUGAGAGGACGACCAGCCACACUGGGACUGAGACACGGCCCAGACUCCUACGGGAGGCAGCAGUGGGGAAUUUUGGACAAUGGGGGCAACCCUGAUCCAGCCAUGCCGCGUGAGUGAAGAAGGCCUUCGGGUUGUAAAGCUCUUUCAGCCGGAAAGAAAUCGUGCCGGCUAAUAUCCUGCGUGGAUGACGGUACCGGAAGAAGAAGCACCGGCUAACUACGUGCCAGCAGCCGCGGUAAUACGUAGGGUGCGAGCGUUAAUCGGAAUUACUGGGCGUAAAGCGUGCGCAGGCGGUUUUGUAAGACAGACGUGAAAUCUCCGGGCUUAACCUGGGAACUGCGUUUGUGACUGCAAGGCUAGAGUGCGGCAGAGGGGGGUAGAAUUCCA
rnacentral:rRNA from 1 species